rfam:Fonticula alba strain ATCC 38817 unplaced genomic scaffold supercont2.4, whole genome shotgun sequence.
GCUGGCAUGUCCGAGUGGUUAAGGAGUUGGACUUGAAAUCCAAUGGGCACUGCCUUCGCAGGUUCGAAUCCUGCUGCCAGCG